UUCUUCUGCCUCAGCCUCCCAAGUAGCUGGGACUAUAGGCGCCUGCCACCACGCCGGGCUAAUUUUUUGUAUUUUUUUUAGUAGAGACUGGGUUUCACCGUGUUUGCCAGGAUGGUCUCGAUUUCCUGACCUCGUGAUCCACCCGCUUCGGCCUCCUAAAGUGCUGGGAUUACAGGCGUGAUCCCCUGCGCCUGGCGAGUCCUUCUGUUUUCAACAUGUGUGAACAUAAGUCAUAUUAGAAGAAAAACCUCUUGGAUGGUAGAAAGCAAUCUUCAGCCUGAGACCCAUUCCUAGUUCAGACAUAUCACCUUGCAACUACAAAAUGGCUGUCCUACUUCCAGCAUCACAGUUAUAUUCUGGGCAAGAAGCACAAGAGCAGCAGGAGCUCUUACGAUGCAUAGAGUGCCUAGAAAACCCACACAAAAUUACUAUCCAUUCUACAGAGCACCAAUCUCAUGGAAUAGAAGUUUCCUUAAUGAUUUUGUCCUUCUCUGGGAACCUAUCUGUGAGUUCUAGAGAACUCACACCACAAAGAAAACUGUCUGCUCUGAAUAUGCCGGAUCCACUCAAUGCUGAAGUGUGUUCUCUGCUUCAUUGGCGGCCUGAUGAUUGCAGCACUCUCAUAACCAGUCUUCUGAUACCCAAGCUCUCAACUCUCAUCUCUCAUCACCUUACCAUCAGGAAACAUUCUGAAACAAGCAUCUGAAACACAUGAUUCUCAAUGCUUUAUGCUGGUUAAUGAUUCUUUAUUGUUUAAAAUAUUUAAGCAUGGUAUCAAAUGUUGCUCAAAAGCUGACCACUGUUUUGAUACCAGUACCAUGCUGUUUUGGUUACUGUAGCCUUGUAGUAUAGUUUGAAGUCAGGUAGCGUGAUGCCUCCAGCUUUGUUCUUUUGGCUUAGGAUUGACUUGGCAAUGCGGGCUCUUUUUUGAUUCCAUGUGAACUUUAAAGUAGUUUUUUCCAAUUCUGUGAAGAAAGUCAUUGGUAGCUUCAUGGGGAUGGCAUUGAAUCUAUAAAUUACCUUGGGCAGUGACCAAUGGAACAGAACAGAGCCCUCAGAAAUAAUACCACACAUCUACAACCAUCCGAUCUUUGACAAACCUGACAAAAACAAGAAAUGGGGAAAGGAUUCCUUAUUUAAUAAAUGGUGCUGAGAAAACUGGCUAGCCAUUAGGUAGAAAGCUGAAACUGGAAUGCUUCCCUACACCUUAUACAAAAAUUAAUUCAAGAUGGAUUAAAGACUUAAAUAUUAGACCU
ensembl:lncRNA LINC02444 long intergenic non-protein coding RNA 2444